UCUCGAUUCCGACGCGGACCAGCGUCUCGAUGGAAGCGCUGCCGGUGAUGCGUCCCAUUCCUGGCGGUCGGAUCGUGUCUUUAUCAUCAGCUGCCGAGGGGGCGCAGCAGUUGCUUAUUAAAUUCCAAUCUGCAUCUUCAAUGAACACUCGGAGGGGGAGAGCGAAUCGUCGAGGCGUGGCGAGAGAGAAAGAAGCUGCGUGGGUUUGAAUUGUCUUUUACUAAUACGGAAAUCGCUUGGCUGCCGUCUGCCAACACAAAAUUUAACCACAACAUUUGGUGUUGCAAGUACCACCACAUCUCGUCGUGGUCACGCAUCUUUUAUACCCCGACGUGACGAAUGAGAUGCUGGGCACAUCCCUUUCAAUGUCGUGAGGCCACCACACAUCAUAAUAACAAGUCUCAUAUGGUGUGUCAUUCGGCAUCCGAGCUUAAAAGACCCUCAUCAUCCAAGAGUCGCAAUCAAUUUCUUUCUCUUAUCAUCCCCCCUCCAACGGAAAAAAAUAAUGAGAAAUUUAAUAUCGUGAAACAAUAGGAGAAUCGUGACCGUGAGUAUCUUUUUUCUUCUUCAUUCCCGUUGGAAAAACAAUCGCAGUCGACUCGUUUCGUGGAAUUGACCGAUGAAGUAAGAAAAAACAAGAAAACAUUCGAUAUUUUUUUCCCAUCGAAAUUGUCAAUAGCAGAGGACAACAGACACACAUUUCCCAACUGUCAGGAUCAACUGGGGGACGGCUGACUAACGGAUGUGGGAAGCCUCCAAGUCACGAACAUUUGACAUGCGAUGGAAUUGGCAUGGGUUUGUUGGGGACAAUUCUUCGCCCCGGUCGCACCGGAGGGAAAUCAAAACCUCGAGUCGCGUGAUUUUCGACCUAAAGUGGUUAAUAACAAACGAUGGGCUUAUUCCAGUUGAAAAAAAAGUAUCAACCAUAAAAUAGAAGAUUAUCAUCGUGUAAUUGAAUUGAAAGGAGCGCCCGAUCGCAAAAUGAGUCAAAAUU